AACGAACGCUGGCGGCAUGCCUAACACAUGCAAGUCGAACGAGACCUUCGGGUCUAGUGGCGCACGGGUGCGUAACGCGUGGGAACCUGCCCUUAGGUUCGGAAUAACUCCCCGAAAGGGGUCCUAAUACCGGAUAAUGUCUUCGGACCAAAGAUUUAUCGCCUUUGGAUGGGCCCGCGUUGGAUUAGCUAGUUGGUAGGGUAAAAGCCUACCAAGGCGACGAUCCAUAGCUGGUCUGAGAGGAUGAUCAGCCACACUGGGACUGAGACACGGCCCAGACUCCUACGGGAGGCAGCAGUGGGGAAUAUUGGACAAUGGGCGAAAGCCUGAUCCAGCAAUGCCGCGUGAGUGAUGAAGGCCUUAGGGUUGUAAAGCUCUUUUACCCGGGAUGAUAAUGACAGUACCGGGAGAAUAAGCUCCGGCUAACUCCGUG
rnacentral:rRNA from 1 species